AGAGUUUGAUCAUGGCUCAGAUUGAACGCUGGCGGCAGGCCUAACACAUGCAAGUCGAGCGCGAAAGGCUUUCGGGCUGAGUAGAGCGGCGGACGGGUGAGUAACGCGUAGGAAUCUACCUGGUAGUGGGGGACAACUUGGGGAAACUCAAGCUAAUACCGCAUACGCCCCAAGGGGGAAAGCGGGGGACCUUCGGGCCUCGCGCUAUCGGAUGAGCCUGCGUAGGAUUAGCUAGUUGGUAGGGUAAAGGCCUACCAAGGCGACGAUCCUUAACUGGUCUGAGAGGAUGAUCAGUCACACUGGAACUGAGACACGGUCCAGACUCCUACGGGAGGCAGCAGUGGGGAAUAUUGGACAAUGGGCGCAAGCCUGAUCCAGCCAUGCCGCGUGUGUGAAGAAGGCCUUCGGGUUGUAAAGCACUUUCACUUGGGAAGAAAAGCUGACCGUUAAUAGCGGUUAGCCGUGACAUUACCUUGAGAAGAAGCACCGGCUAACUCCGUGCCAGCAGCCGCGGUAAUACGGAGGGUGCGAGCGUUAAUCGGAAUUACUGGGCGUAAAGCGCGCGUAGGCGGUUUGUUAAGUCAGCUGUGAAAGCCCCGGGCUCAACCUGGGAACUGCAGUUGAUACUGGCCGACUAGAGUACGAGAGAGGGAGGUAGAAUUCCAUGUGUAGCGGUGAAAUGCGUAGAUAUAUGGAGGAAUACCGGUGGCGAAGGCGGCCUCCUGGCUCGAUACUGACGCUGAGGUGCGAAAGCGUGGGGAUCAAACAGGAUUAGAUACCCUGGUAGUCCACGCCGUAAACGAUGUCUACUAGCCGUUGGGAGACUUGAUUUCUUAGUGGCGCAGCUAACGCAAUAAGUAGACCGCCUGGGGAGUACGGCCGCAAGGUUAAAACUCAAAUGAAUUGACGGGGGCCCGCACAAGCGGUGGAGCAUGUUGUUUAAUUCGAUGCAACGCGAAGAACCUUACCAGGUCUUGACAUCCAGAGAACUUUCCAGAGAUGGAUUGGUGCCUUCGGGAGCUCUGAGACAGGUGCUGCAUGGCUGUCGUCAGCUCGUGUCGUGAGAUGUUGGGUUAAGUCCCGUAACGAGCGCAACCCUUGUCCUUAGUUGCCAGCGAGUAAUGUCGGGAACUCUAAGGAGACUGCCGGUGACAAACCGGAGGAAGGUGGGGACGACGUCAAGUCAUCAUGGCCCUUACGACCUGGGCUACACACGUGCUACAAUGGAACGCACAGA
rnacentral:rRNA from 1 species